UAUAGAAAUAAUAAAAACAAAAAGUAUAUUAGGAAAGUGAGAACACGAAUAGUUGGAAGUUUGUAGCUUCUUUCUUAUACGCUCCUCCAAAUUCCCAAUCUUUAUACACUUCCAUUGUUAUGAUUCAAGCUACAAUCAAGUGAUAUCUUUAGUUCUAUCUAUAAUCAAAGCGAGAUCUUUAAUUCUUGCCCUCCAAUGUUAAAAGAGUUUUAAUGCAUAUCCUCAUACGGUUUUAAGGCGAUGACACAGGCAUGGAAUCGCUCUCAUCUUCAAUCAUUUGAACCAAUAAAAUCUCCAAGCUUUCGCGUUUACACUUGAUUAUUUCCGAUCCUAACAAGUGGUAUCAGAGCCAGAUUCAAUGAUCGAGUCAGCUUCAGUGGUUCGAUAAUCGAUGAUUGAACCAGGUUAGAAAGAGGUGUUCAUCUUGGCGUGUGUAGUUUUAGCAGCAACCUUUUUUACAGUAAUGAAGAUUUUGUUGGAGAAAUUGUUUCAGAAAGGUUCUCUGUGUUGAGACAUAAAUUUUGCAAA